rnacentral:rRNA from 1 species
AGGACGAACGCUGGCGGCGUGCCUAACACAUGCAAGUCGAACGGGUGCCUUGAAGUGAGAUUUCGGUCAAGCAGAUAGGUUACCUAGUGGCGGACGGGUGAGUAAUACAUGAGCAACCUGCCCUUCAGAGGGGGACAACAGUUGGAAACGACUGCUAAUACCGCAUAACGUAUUCGGGAGGCAUCUUCUGAAUACCAAAGAUUUUAUCGCUGAAGGAUGGCCUCGCGUCUGAUUAGCUAGUUGGCGGGGUAACGGCCCACCAAGGCGACGAUCAGUAGCCGGUCUGAGAGGAUGAACGGCCACAUUGGGACUGAGAUACGGCCCAGACUCCUACGGGAGGCAGCAGUGGGGAAUAUUGGGCAAUGGGGGAAACCCUGACCCAGCAACGCCGCGUGAAGGAAGAAGGCCUUCGGGUUGUAAACUUCUUUUAGCAGGGACGAAGAACGUGACGGUACCUGCAGAAAAAGCAACGGCUAACUACGUG